UUCUUUUCAAACAGUUUUAACAUCGAACGAGGGGUUCGACAAGGAUGUCCACUCUCAUCAUCGCUAUUUAUUAUUUGCAUCGAGUAUCUAUCACAUCACAUUCAAUCAAAUAAACACAUAAAAGGCAUAUCACUAGAACCUGACGAAGAAAUCAAACAGUCCCUAUUUGCUGACGAUGCAACUUAUUUUUUAAACGACAAUUACGAUUCUUUCCAUAACCUUAUAGAGUCGUUAACCCUUUACGGAAUGACAUCGGGUGUUAAACUAAACAAAAGUAAAUGUACUGUGCUACGAGUAGGUAAAUUAAAACAAAGUAAUGUCCAAUAUAAAAAAGAAAUGAAAUUUAAUUGGACAUCCGAUGAAGCCACAACGUUAGGAAUUACUUUCACAAAUAAUGAAAAUGAUACAGUUCUUAAAAACAUACUUCCUUAAUUACAGAAUUUUAAAAACUGCUUAAAAUCAUGGCAUCACCGUAAACUUACACUAAUCGGAAAAAACACAGUAUUGAAAACGUUUGCACUUCCUAAAUUAAUUUAUGUAUUAACAGUUCUCCCAAAUCCACCAAAUGAUGUUAUUAACGAUAUAAAAUCAGCAAUAUUUAAUUUCAUAUGGGACGGUAAGCCUGAUAAAAUAAAACGAACUCAGUUAAUUCAAUCCGUAGAAAAUGGAGGUAUCCAAUUAACGAACAUUGACUCAUUCUUGAAUGCAAUCAAAUGCAGCUGGGUUAAAAGAUACCUAGAUAGUACCAAUACGAGUAAAUGGAAAUUAUUCUACCAGAAAAUCCUAAAAAAAUAUGGUGACUCCUUACUCUUUGAAUGUAACAUCAGCAAUACUAUCUUACAUGAAAUUGCAAACGAAAACAUAUUUCUGUCUGAUGUUCUAUCAGCGUGGAGUGAUGUCACUCAUAAUUUAGAAACCCAAACCAGCAGUAAAACAAUAAUAUGGAAUAAUAAAGACAUAACGUCAAACAAUAAGACGUUUUUCUAUAAAGACUGGUUUGAACGAAGCAUUAAAUAUGUCGACCAACUAUAUGACUACAGAAUUAAGGAUUUCUACUCUUUUGAUAAUAUAUGCUACAUAUACGGAAUACCUUCAAAUAAUUUUCUGAAGUACUACACACUAAUCAAAAGCAUACCCAUACAUAUUAAAUCUGAAAUCAAUACAAAUAAUACACCAUGUACUCAAACAACAUUUGUAGAAAACAUACUUGGAAGAAAAAACAAAACAAAUAAAAUAUUUUACACACUACAAAUUAAAAACCC